rnacentral:rRNA from 1 species
GAGUUUGAUCCUGGCUCAGGAUGAACGCUGGCGGCGUGCCUAACACAUGCAAGUCGAGCGAUCUCUUCGGAGAGAGCGGCGGACGGGUGAGUAACGCGUGGGUAACCUGCCCUGUACACACGGAUAACAUACCGAAAGGUAUACUAAUACGGGAUAACAUAUGAAAGUCGCAUGGCUUUUGUAUCAAAGCUCCGGCGGUACAGGAUGGACCCGCGUCUGAUUAGCUAGUUGGUAAGGUAAUGGCUUACCAAGGCAACGAUCAGUAGCCGACCUGAGAGGGUGAUCGGCCACACUGGAACUGAGACACGGUCCAGACUCCUACGGGAGGCAGCAGUGGGGAAUAUUGCACAAUGGGCGAAAGCCUGAUGCAGCAACGCCGCGUGAGCGAUGAAGGCCUUCGGGUCGUAAAGCUCUGUCCUCAAGGAAGAUAAUGACGGUACUUGAGGAGGAAGCCCCGGCUAACUACGUGCCAGCAGCCGCGGUAAUACGUAGGGGGCUAGCGUUAUCCGGAAUUACUGGGCGUAAAGGUG